GACGAACGUUGGCGGCGUGCUUAAUACAUGCAAGUCAACUGAAGCAGUGGUAGCAAUAUCGCUGUGGAGGUGGCGCACGGGUGAGUAACACGUAGGUAAUCUGCCUUCAGGUCUGGCAUAACUCCGGGAAACCGGGGCUAAUAGCAGAUGAUGCAGCGGCUCGACAUCGAGACAGUUGUUAAAGCUAUGGCGCCUGAAGAUGAGCCUGCGUCUGAUUAGCUAGUUGGCGGAGUAACGGCCCACCAAGGCAACGAUCAGUAGCUGGUCUGAGAGGAUGAUCAGCCACACUGGAACUGAGACACGGUCCAGACUCCUACGGGAGGCAGCAGUAAGGAAUAUUGCUCAAUGGGAGAAAUCCUGAAGCAGCAACGCCGCGUGAGGGACGAAGGGCUUUUGCUUGUAAACCUCUGUAGUGAGAGAAAAAAAUCCCAAUCUUUGGGACAUGAUGGUAUCUCAAAAGUAAGCCCCGGCUAACUACGUG
rnacentral:rRNA from 1 species